CAUGGCUCCUACCUGGGGGUCCUUGAGGCGAAGCAGAUCCGGCUUCAGGUAGUAGAUGAUGCCUGCGGAGGCCCCGGGCAGCGUGACGCCGCGGACCAAGAGGAUGACCAGCAUCAGCGCUGGGCGUCGGCUCCUGGGGCCGGGGCCGCGCCCCCGUGCCCACCCGGGAACUCUCGUGUCUGCGCAGAGGAGGCCCGGCACACACAGCGCUCGGUUCGCAGCAUCACCACUGGAGGAUUAGAUGAGGAAACACCUGUGACGUGCUUACGAAGGUGCGUCGGGGACCCUGCCACACACUCAGGGUGAAGAUUCAGCCUCAGGGUUCCUCACUUGCAAGAACCCCUCAAACGACUCUGCACCAGACUUUGUAUUGCCUUUCCUGAAGAGCACCCCCCAACCCCCGCCACAUCCUCAGGGUUUUAUAAGCUUUGGGCCCCACAAAGCCUGGUCCCACUUCCUGUAUCCCCCACAGCCCUUAGCGCAGGAUGGGGGUGGGUGAGGAAGGGAGGCAGACCGGGAAGGCCAGGGGAUGG